rnacentral:misc_RNA from 1 species
GAAAUGCGAUUAGUAAUGUGAAUUGCAGAAUUCAGUGAAUCAUCGAAUCUUUGAACGCACCUUGCGCUCCUUGGUAUUCCGAGGAGCAUGCCUGUUUGAGUGUCAUGGAAUUCUCAACUCUAUUUGCUUUUGUGAAUAGAGCUUGGAUUUGGAGGUUUAUUGCUGGUACUUGUGAUCGGCUCCUCUUGAAUGCAUUAGCUCGAACCUUUGCGGAUCAGCUAUCGGUGUGAUAAUUGUCUACGCCGUUGCAGUGAAGCAUAUCAAUGGGCUCGGCUUCCAAUCGUCCUUUACUGGACAAUGACUUUGACCUUUGACCUCAAAUCAGGUAGGAUUACCCGCUGAACUUAAGC